UUCAGCCGUUCUUUCUUAGUUUCAGUAAGUAUUCCGGUUUCGAGAGCUCUGCGUUAGUGUUCUGUUCUGUGUAAUAAAGUAAUCGUAAUGUUAAUGGUUUUAGGAGCUAGAAUCCGGUUUACUUGUGCCGUUUGGGGCUGUUUCUGGUUUUGAGAGAGCGGGCAGAGCCGAGAUUUUGAUUGCCGGUGAUUUCGGGUCGAGAUAAAAGGAGUUGGUUAACGAGUUGGGUUGUGGUUCCAAUGUUGUGAGGAUAUGGGCGCAGAAGUUACGAAGAGCUUAUUUAAUUAUUUGUAUUUGA